UUUUAGCCCUGAUGGAAGCGGAAAUCCUCGCAGAGAUUGCAGCGUACAGCAGGAGAAAUA
rnacentral:sRNA from 1 species